ensembl:snRNA U1 U1 spliceosomal RNA
AUACUUACCUGGUAGAGCAGAUACCAUGAUCAAGAAGGUGGUUCUCCCAGGGCGAGGCUCACCCAUUGCACUCCGGGUGUGUUGACCUCUGCGGUUUCCUCAAAUAGAGGAAACUCGACUGUGUAAUUUAUGGUAGUGGGGGACUGUGUGCUCGCUUUCCCCUG